rnacentral:rRNA from 1 species
ACUCCUACGGGAGGCAGCAGUGGGGAAUAUUGGACAAUGGGCGCAAGCCUGAUCCAGCCAUGCCGCGUGUGUGAAGAAGGCCUUCGGGUUGUAAAGCACUUUCAGUGGGGAAGAAAUCCUCGGGGCUAAUACCCUCGAGGGAGGACAUCACCCACAGAAGAAGCACCGGCUAACUCCGUGCCAGCAGCCGCGGUAAUACGGAGGGUGCGAGCGUUAAUCGGAAUUACUGGGCGUAAAGCGCGCGUAGGCGGCCUGAUAAGCCGGUUGUGAAAGCCCCGGGCUCAACCUGGGAACGGCAUCCGGAACUGUCAGGCUAGAGUGCAGGAGAGGAAGGUAGAAUUCCCGGUGUAGCGGUGAAAUGCGUAGAGAUCGGGAGGAAUACCAGUGGCGAAGGCGGCCUUCUGGACUGACACUGACGCUGAGGUGCGAAAGCGUGGGUAGCAAACAGGAUUAGAUACCCUGGUAGUCCACGCCGUAAACGAUGUCGACUAGCCGUUGGGGUCCUUGAGACCUUUGUGGCGCAGUUAACGCGAUAAGUCGACCGCCUGGGGAGUACGGCCGCAAGGUUAAAACUCAAAUGAAUUGACGGGGGCCCGCACAAGCGGUGGAGCAUGUGGUUUAAUUCGAUGCAACGCGAAGAACCUUACCUACCCUUGACAUCGAGAG